GGGGAUGUAGCUCAGUUGGCUAGAGCGCUUGACUGGCAGUCAAGAGGCCGUGGGUUCGAGUCCCAUCUUCUCCACUA
rnacentral:tRNA from 1 species